UACGGAGGGUGCAAGCGUUAUCCGGAUUUACUGGGUCUAAAGGGUGCGUAGGCGGGUUUGUAAGUCAGUGGUGAAAGCCUGGAGCUUAACUCCGGAAUUGCCAUUGAUACUGCUUAUCUUGAGUACAGUUGAGGUGGGCGGAAUGUGUCAUGUAGCGGUGAAAUGCUUAGAUAUGACACAGAACACCGAUUGCGAAGGCAGCUCGCUAAACUGUAACUGACGCUGAGGCACGAAAGCGUGGGGAGCGAACAGG
rnacentral:misc_RNA from 1 species